AGAAAGCUUGCUUUCUUUGCUGGCGACCGGCGCACGGGUGAGUAACACGUAUCCAACCUGCCCUUUACUCGGGGAUAGCCUUUCGAAAGAAAGAUUAAUACCCGAUAGCAUAAUGAUUCCGCAUGGUUUCAUUAUUAAAGGAUUCCGGUAAAGGAUGGGGAUGCGUUCCAUUAGGUUGUUGGUGAGGUAACGGCUCACCAAGCCUUCGAUGGAUAGGGGUUCUGAGAGGAAGGUCCCCCACAUUGGAACUGAGACACGGUCCAAACUCCUACGGGAGGCAGCAGUGAGGAAUAUUGGUCAAUGGGCGCUAGCCUGAACCAGCCAAGUAGCGUGAAGGAUGAAGGCUCUAUGGGUCGUAAACUUCUUUUAUAUAAGAAUAAAGUGCAGUAUGUAUACUGUUUUGUAUGUAUUAUAUGAAUAAGGAUCGGCUAACUCCGUGCCAGCAGCCGCGGUAAUACGGAGGAUCCGAGCGUUAUCCGGAUUUAUUGGGUUUAAAGGGAGCGUAGGUGGACUGGUAAGUCAGUUGUGAAAGUUUGCGGCUCAACCGUAAAAUUGCAGUUGAUACUGUCAGUCUUGAGUACAGUAGAGGUGGGCGGAAUUCGUGGUGUAGCGGUGAAAUGCUUAGAUAUCACGAAGAACUCCGAUUGCGAAGG
rnacentral:rRNA from 1 species